GAUGAACGCUAGCGGCAGGCCUAAUACAUGCAAGUCGGACGGGAUUCAGGAGCUUGCUUCUGAUGAGAGUGGCGCACGGGUGCGUAACACGUAUGUAACCUACCUUUAUCAGGGGGAUAGCCUCUCGAAAGAGAGAUUAAGCCCGCAUAAAAUCACAGCACAGCAUUGUGUAAUGAUCAAAUAUUUAUAGGAUAAAGAUGGGCAUGCGGAGCAUGAGCUAGAUGGCGGGGUAACGGCCCACCAUGGCGACGAUGUUUAGGGGAUCUGAGAGGAUGGCCCCCCACACUGGUACUGAGACACGGACAAGACUACUACGGGAGGCAGCAGUAAGGAAUACUGGUGAAUGGGCGGAAGCCUGAACCAGCCAUGCCACGUGAAGGAAGACGGCCAUCCGGGUAGUAAACUGCUUUUAGACAGGAAUAAAACCAGAUACGUGUAUCUGGCUGAAUUGACUGUAAGAAUAAGGAUCGGCUAACUCAGUG
rnacentral:rRNA from 1 species